rnacentral:rRNA from 1 species
UACGGGGGGGGCAAGCGUUGCUCGGAAUCACUGGGCGUAAAGGGCGCGUAGGCGGCAUGACAAGUCACUUGUGAAAUCUCUGGGCUUAACCCAGAACGGCCAAGUGAUACUGUCGCGCUAGAGUGCGGAAGGGGCAAUCGGAAUUCUCGGUGUAGCGGUGAAAUGCGUAGAUAUCGAGAGGAACACCUGAGGUGAAGACGGGUUGCUGGGCCGACACUGACGCUGAGUGCGCGAAAGCCAGGGGAGCAAACGGG